rnacentral:rRNA from 1 species
UGCCAGCACCCCGAGUGGUCGGUACGAUUAUUGGGCCUAAAGCAUCCGUAGCCGGUUUUACAAGUCCCCCGUUAAAUCCAGCUGCUUAACAGAUGGGCUGCGGAGGAUACUAUAAGACUAGGAGGCAGGAGAGGCAAGCGGUACUCAGUGGGUAGGGGUAAAAUCCGUUGAUCCAUUGAAGACCACCAGUGGCGAAGGCGGCUUGCCAGAAUGCGCUCGACGGUGAGGGAUGAAAGCUGGGGGAGCAAACCGG